rnacentral:tRNA from 1 species
UCCUCGGUAGCUCAGUUGGUAGAGCAGGAGACUGUUAAUCUCUUGGUCGCUGGUUCGAGUCCGGCCCGGGGAGCCA